GGUGAUUGUCAUGACUCAUGUAUAAUAUAUAAUGUUUCUCUUUGUUUUAAGGGCCUUAUAAAGGGCCUGUUAUCAAUGUUAUGGCUGAUACCUCAACGUCGCUGAACGUUACCUGGGACGAAUUGAAUAAAGAUGAUGCAAAUGGUGUAAUAACACGAUAUCGUGUUUGCUACAAGAAUGCAUCCUCUUCUGAGGAUAUCUGCAAUUUACCAGUUCGGGAAACAAGGGGUAAUGUUCGUCUUAUAACGUUGUCUAACUUGGGGAAAUACACGGAAUAUGUAGUCGCAGUCCAAGCUGCCACUAAGAUUGGAUUCGGACCGCUUGGAGCAAAAAUGACCACGCGAACAAAGGAAGAUAG